rnacentral:rRNA from 1 species
AGUGAACGCUGGCGGUAGGCCUAACACAUGCAAGUCGAACGGCAGCACAGGAGAGCUUGCUCUCUGGGUGACGAGUGGCGGACGGGUGAGGAAUACAUCGGAAUCUACCCUGUCGUGGGGGAUAACGUAGGGAAACUUACGCUAAUACCGCAUACGACCUACGGGUGAAAGCAGGGGAUCUUCGGACCUUGCGCGAUUGAAUGAGCCGAUGUCGGAUUAGAUAGUUGGCGGGGUAAAGGCCCACCAAGGCGACGAUCCGUAGCUGGUCUGAGAGGAUGAUCGGCCACACUGGAACUGAGACACGGUCCAGACUCCUACGGGAGGCAGCAGUGGGGAAUAUUGGACAAUGGGCGCAAGCCUGAUCCAGCCAUACCGCGUGGGUGAAGAAGGCCUUCGGGUUGUAGAGCCCUUUUGUUGGGAAAGAAAUCCAGCUGGCUAAUACCCGGUUGGGAUGACGGUACCCAAAGAAUAAGCACCGGCUAACUUCGUGCCAGCAGCCGCCGUAA